GUAGCAUCUGCACUCAUUUACAUUCAUGUUCAUGUUCCUGCACCUGGUUUCAUUAUGAACAUCACCACUGACAGCAGACAGGUGGGAUGGCGUUUGCAUGUUUGGAUCUAGGAUCAGCUGGUCACAGGAGCUGGAGCGAGCAAGUUAUUUACUUGGAGGUCUUUCUUUCUUUUACCUUUCUUUGUCAGACACAACGCAGAAACAUACCGGUUGCACAAACACCUCUUUGACACUUAAACCAUCCUGCGGCACGUGGGGGAUCCUCAGGGUUGUUCCACCUCCAUCUGUCUAAACUCUUCAUGCGGUGUUAGUCACUCUUAGUCUCCUGAUGGGACAGAAGGCCAGGGUUUGGGUCCCUCGGAUGAGAACGUGUGAAGGAAACAAAUAUUUUUUGGAGGACUUCAGGUUACUGAGCUGUUCCUGCAGCACUGAGAGAACACAGAGCCAAGAGGCGUUUCCUCUCAUUACGUUUUACUGAACACCUCUGAAAGCACCGUCUCCAUCAUCCUGUGACACUCAGCAUCAGCAGCAGCACUUCAAACACCCAGCAGCCCUGGGCUCCCUGUUCCUACAUCUAUUUUUAAUUAGACAGGAGCGACACCCCUGCUGGGGCGCCGGAGUUCACCCAAGUUCACCGGCAGGUUGCUGUUUGGUGUUUUCAACUUCCUGAGUCGGCUGUCAGGGAGGCAACACGGCGAGAAAUCAGUGCAGUUAUAGGGAGAGCAGCGCUGUCAUGUGACGUAUGUUGGAAAUUAAAGUGCCUGCAGCGGGAUCCACGAACCUGUACUUUGGAUACUUCAGGAUGUAUCCAGACCCCUCCAGGCUGUACUACAGAUUUCACACUUAAGUAACAUGCAGGGUGUUGUUCACCUGUGGAGGUGAAAGGUGAGACAGCAGGCUCAGGUGAGUCCACUCUGGAGCAGGUGUUUUCCAGGACGAUCUGUGGAUGAUCCACGGUUGUGACAAUUCUUGGACGGCUACUGAUCUUCUACACUCAGGUAUUCACAUAAACGCUCAGUGGACCAACAGUUCUCAAUGUAGAGCUCAGAUCGGGGGUGGAGGAGAUCGUGUUGGAGCUGAUUCACAUCAGUGGAUGGAGCUACUGGUGGUCACAUCCUGUUUGUGUUGUGAUGUGUGUACUCAGUGGAAGAUUUAGUCUCUGUGUUUGGAGACGAGCCAUCGGUCUGCUGCUGAAUGAGGCCUGAGAGCUCGGCUCUACAACAACCACUCAGUUUACUGCUCCUGCUCAUUAUUUCCAUAAAACCACGUCCUGUGUUUGUUUUAAGAUUAAAUGCAGAGAAAGCUCUGAAACACCUUCUGUCACUGUGUUGUGGUCAAAGCUGUGAGAGUUUCCAUGAAUAAACCUGUGACACACAACAUGAGAGCA